rnacentral:rRNA from 1 species
GACAGAGGUGCCAAGCGUUAGGCGGAAUCACUGGGCUUAAAGCGUGUGUAGGCGGACUUCUAAGUGCCUUGUGAAAUCCCACGGCUCAACCGUGGAACUGCUGGGCAUACUGGGAGUCUUGAGCCAGCUAGGGGCUACCGGAACAAAUGGUGGAGCGGUGAAAUGCGUAGAUAUCAUUUGGAACGCCAAUGGUGAAAACAGGUAGCUGGGGCUGUGCUGACGCUGAGACACGAAAGCCAGGGGAGCGAACGGG